rnacentral:lncRNA from 1 species
CACUUGCAUUUCAUCCACACUCAACACUCAACACUGACAAUGACAUGGUGAAAAUUAUCCAAGAAUCCAAGAGAGACUUUCUAAGCUAAAAUAUCAAGAAGCCCAGAGCCUGAGGGCUUCUAUCUUCUUAGAUGCAGAUAUUCUUGCCAGGGUGGCCACUUCUACAAAAAGAAAAGCAAAGCCUGACAUCUCAUCACAGGGUAAAACUAACAUGGUCCCAUGGAUGACCCCACCCAGAACAGGAGAGCCCUAGGAGAUCCAACAGUGUUCUCCUUCUGCCCCCUCACUAACAACAUGACCUUCAGGAAGCUGCUGCCAUUGUCAGUAUCCUAUCUCCUCCCUGGUAACAUGGGGACAAUAACACCCUACAAGGGAGUCGUGAGCCUUAAAAAGAUGUCAGUUCUACAGGGCUGAGCCUAGUGCCAGGAGGACAGAUGGUGCUCAGUAAAUAGCAGUUGUUACUGUGACCAUGAGGAGGUGGUGGGAAAGAUGACUCCCUUCACCAACACUUAAGUGGGGGUUGGGGCGCUGCCUUUCUUCCAAAGACUGGCUUGCUGUGCAACUCGUGGAAGGUUCUGAAAGGUGUUCAGGAUGAGUCGAGGUGUAUUUUGAAGGCGUGUGGGGCACGGUGUGUGAUGACCUGUGGGACGAGAAGGAAGCACAGGUGGUGUGCCAGCAGCUGGGCUGUGGGGCAGCCGUCUCUGCCCCUGGAGAGGCCCACUUUGGCCAGGGCUCCGGCCCCAUUCUUCUGGACGAUAUGCAGUGUUCUGGGACUGAGGCCUACCUGAGGGAGUGCUCCCAUGCCAGCUGGUCUACCCACAACUGUGGGCACAGGGAAGACACUGGUGUCAUCUGCUCAGAGUAUGAAAAUGAACACUUGCAAACUUUUGGUAAGAAUCACACUUUACUACAUCUUUAACAGAACAUCUGCUAAUGCCCCUAAUCCUUUGAUUGUAUUUACCAACAUAAUGCAUUGCAAGAGGUUGGGGAGUGGCAGAAAAAAAAAAAAACUGAAUUUAAUCAAAAGGACUCAAC